CAGGGAGAAUAAUCACUAGCAGGUGAUGCUUGUUAUAACAUAGAACAAGCUACCUGUGUUUGGGAUAUAACAGAGUGGUUGCAGGUGUGGGUGUGUUGAGCAUGGUUAGCUGUUUGGCUUCACCUGGGAGGCUUUGGAGGAGGUUUGUGGUGGCUGUAGGUAGUGGGGAGUACCAAGACAUGUCUUCUGGCUGGGAUGCAGGGGAGAGAUGUUGGGCUGCUCUCUGUCCAAAAUGAUUGAGGCUCCCUGUGCUUUUGGGCACUUCCAGUCUGGGUGGAUGCAAGUUGGCUCCUGCUGGAAGCGGGUUUUCCCAAAGAGAAGUUGCUUUGAGCUUUGUGUCUGAAAGAGGAGAUUGCAAAAAGAAGGAAACCCAGUCUAUGUUAUAGGAGGUGAAUCUCCAGUAGAGGAAGAUAGAGCCUUGCUUUCUUGUUGGGCAUCAUGGGGGACUUGGCUUUGGCCAAGGAUGCUGUAUUUGUAGGGCUUCUUCCAUAGGGGCUCUACAAGGAAGACUGGUGGUCUCAGCCCCCUGCCUAUGGAUUAGAAGCAGCUGCGAGGAGUGAUGCCCAGGGCUGGACUUCUGGAGGAGCUAAGGCUUCUGGAUUGUGCGUACACUUGUAUUCACUUCCCGUUAACUUCUUGAACACACUUGAUGAGACCCAGUCCGAGCGAGGCCCUCCAGCAGUGAUGAUCAGCCUUUCAUUCCACCCGGGCAGUGAGGAUUGCUCCAGGGGUUGGGCAGAGGCCCCGAGCCCCAUUGGCUACAUCCUGCUCAAUAACCCACAUCGAUUCUACACAGCCCUGGUUGAAAGCAGGGCAAUCUGCAGGAAAGCAGUUGGGCUGAAGCGUGUGAAAUAACGCUUGGAAAGGUCACUUUCCAUCUCAGGGAGAGGGUUCCUGACUUCAGGAGGAGUUGUGGACCAGCUGGUAGGGGCGGUUCCUCUGGACAGUGCAUAGCAUGGAAAGCUGCUGCUUGUCAGUAGAUGUGUUGAAUAAAGUUUGGGGGGAAAUUCAUGGUUACAGCUCCCUGCUGACUGAAGCAGAGAUACAGGACCCAAGGCUUUGCUUCUACAUCAGCACACUGUAUGGGGGGGGGAAAAAAAGCAAGCGAUGUGUGUUGGUGUGCUCCCCAUUACAGCUCCCAUCGUGUGAUACACAUCCCUCAAGACGGCCCUGGAGGCAGAGCAGCACUGAGUGCAGUGCUUAGCUACCCUGAGAUGUCUGGCAGCGUGUGAUGUCGAGCUUCAAACCCUGAACUUGGGGGAAUUCUUCUGAAUUUGGGAGCAGCAAGAGGUUAAUAAAAAUUCUUUGAGGUUGGAUAUAUUCCUAAUGUGCUGUAAGAUGUACUGGAGGUUUGGCUACCUUUUUUCACUCCUAAAUUGUAAUGGAAAAGAAUUCUGGAAGUUGUUUGCCAGUGAGGUAUGAGAUUAUGCUUUAGUUAAGCUUACUUUUAUGAAUAGCAAUUUUUACAUUUCAUGGUGAAUACACCUCAGGUUCUCUCUGUAUUUAGGGUGGGGUGGGUGAGAUUAGUAUUGUUUGUUUUCCCCCCACUGCAACAUGCAUUAAUGAACACUUUUUAAAACUUUUUUUUAAUUGUGAAAUGAGCUUCAAUGAACUUAUUAAAUGUUUGCACAUUUGGCAGGAAGGAUUUGGGUUAGUUUCUAAUAUCCACAGCUGACUUUUUUCCCUCACUCAUCCUUCAGCAUCUCAUCCCUGCUGUGCUGCCCAGCUGCAGGCUGGAUUGGACCCGUGCCCUGAGGACUGCUUCAGGAGGGCACAGGGCACCUCCUGGUGCCAAAAAUUCAGAAGAGACCCUGCGUCUUCUCCAUUUAUUCCCAAUGGCUGGCUCUUCUGGCUUCAGCAAGCCUAGGGGAGCCCUUGUAAUCCCCCUGUGGUGUCUUGGCAGGAGCUGCUUGGCUGCCCAGCCCUUUGCACGGAGCGGAGGAGACUCCUGGGGCUUGCUUUAAUUUUGGGUAAGCUCCAGCAGUUGCACGGUUUGCACCAGACUCCUGAAAUUUGGCAGGGAGAAAGCCUUUGGGCUGGGGAAAUGCCUUUUCUGGAUCCCAUGAAAAACCCUUCAGGUUUAACAGAGCUAUAAAUUCUUUUUAAAAAAGCAUUGUUUCCCCUAGCUCACUCCUAAUUAACAGGUGAUUUUAGCUAGAAUGCUGAAGAAGGUGACCUCCGUUGCCUGGAGAAGGACAUUGGUAAGUCAUGAGGAAGAGCGUUGUCCCAGACAAGGCAGCAUCACCCAAACCCAGCUGUUAACCCUGCCCCAAAAAGCUCAAACCCCCAGGUGCCAGCUCGGGGGGAUUUCCACCUCCUACAAAGAAAGAAGGUAAGUGUGAGAGCGGGCAGAGAAACGCCCAGAGCAAGACCUGGCUCGAGAAAUUAAUUUUUCAGAUAGCUGUGCAGAAGGUGGCUUGUUCUAUAUAUUUUCCUUAGAAACUAAAUAAAACAGGAAAUGACAUAAAAAAUUAUGCUAAAAGGAAGUUAUUUAGUUUGUAUGGGCAAGGUCUGUAUGUUAAGGAAUGCCAGAUUUACAGUUACACAUGUCUGCAACCUUAUUUCUGCUCCCAUGAGCGCAUGCAUUACGAUACAAUCUUUAACUACAUAAUCACGUAAUAUUUUCCCAUUGCCUCUCUUUUAAUAUUCGGAGUUGGAUACAUAAGUGGGAAGAAUCGGGAUUGCAUGGGCAAUUGUAAAAAUGGCAUUUCUUAACUUUCAAGUACUUGGCUUUGCAACUUAAAUAACUUUCUUCGGAUGUAAUUUUUUUCAUAUGUAAUUAUAUAUAUCCAGUGUUGAACACCAGAAAGCAGUGGGGAUUACUGGCAAGCUUUUGAAAACUCCUUAAUUUCCUUCUAGCAGUGAACAGGAGACAUCACUUCUUUUUUUAUUCUGUAGAUUUCCCAACGAAUUCCUCCAUACUUCUUAAAUAGAUACAGCUCUGAACAGAUGACUGAAAAAAACUGGGUCAGGAAAUACUGUAAAUAAUUAUUCUUGCAUAUUUUUAGUCAUUAAGUACGUAGGCACAGUAACACGUUGUUGGAGCAGUGUGUAAGUUUAAUGCUGAAGAAAUCAGUCUUUAAUGAACAUAUGCUGACUUGGCCUCGCAAUCUUGCUUCAUCUCCCCUAUUAACUUCCUAUGCACCCAGGAAACCUUUGGCUCGCUGCCUAAAUAAUAGAAGAAUAAUUAGACCAGUAAUUGAAGGAUGCCAAGUCAAACUUCUAAGGAAUUUAUCUUUAACAACCACUCUGCAGCACGUUUCCUAUGCUGCCUUGCAUGGUUCUUCUUUAAGGAUCAUUUUGCAAAUAUCCAGUCCAUGUUUGCAAGAAAAAUUAGUAAGUCAUGCAGACACUGAAAUGCACUCAAUCACUAUGAAUUGUAAAACAGAAAUAGGUAUUGCUCUUUCAAAAAGCCUUCAAGAGUGAGCUCCUCCUGGUAUGAGGUAACUCACCUCCUUUUGUGCUCAUCCAAUACAGGCAGCCUUACUGGACCUUUUGGGUGGGACUAGGUGGAAAAUUUAGCAUGUCUUUUUAGAGUGUCUGAAAUCAGCAGUGCUGUAAGGCUGGGGUAAUUAGCCUAGAACUUGCUUUGUUUGGAUAGUUAAGUUACAGAUACUUAAAACCUACAUUUUACCUAUUGGAAUGAAUGUCGGUGUUACGUAUUCAGCUAGAGAAAGAUGUUGGACCAAUAACUCAAAUCUUCUACUCAAAAAGACGUCAUAAUUUAGUAGCAGCAGCUGCUAGCCAGCUAUGACCAAUCAAGGCCAUUUUUGCUGGAGAGCAAUGCCAUGUCUCAUCACUCGACUGUUUCCUCCUCAGCGGGGAUGUCAAGGUCUGUUCAGUGGUCCACGUACGGUGACAGAAGAGCUCUUGUUGGCACCAUCAGUCCCCAGCUCCGGAGCUCUUCCAGCUCAGUGUAGCUCCAGGCAUGCAUUGCCAGGUGAGGUUUUAGGGGAGGAGUUUCCCCGCUCUUCCUUGCUUUCCUUAGAGCCAAGAAUUGCUGUUCCUGAGCACUUGUGUAUGUGUGUACCCUUCACGAGCAACCAUCAGAUUUAAUCAAGGGUUAUUUCUAAGCUGCUCUAAAUUGUGCAGUGCCGGAUCAGGUUUACAGCAUUUUGCUUUGUUGUAAAUAUUUGCUCACAGCUUUGAAGUUCAGGAGUUCAUUGUAUUGGCCAAAACCCAGGUGCUAUUGUACAGUAUUGUCUGUAUAGAUUCUGAUUCCUUGUCUUGGUAAUCAGCCCUGGGCCAAGAGCAUAAUGGGAAGUCAGUUUGGGCAUCGGGUCCUCCAGGUGGGCAGGUGUUAAAGUGGGAAGCCUUCCCAUGUAAGGGACCACAGGUAGCAUCGUCUACUCGCAAAGAGAGGAGAUCUGUGUGAAUUUUUCUCAUAAUGUCACUUCAUCUUUUAAUAAUGUUGAGACGUGGAACCAUAUUCCAAGUGUUUAGUGUCAUGGGAAAUGAAGCAGAAUAUAUUUUGUUGGUAAUUUCUACGGCAGCCGAGUAAGGGUGGUGAUAGCACUCCAGCCAAUUACCAGCUUCAGGUACUACUUCUAUAUUUAAAUUUCUUCCCCUUUACCUCAGUAUAAUUAAUAAAUGAUACUGCUUCAUAUUUUCAAGGAAAUCCAGACAGCUGUACCGCGUAUCACUCCUUUCUUUAAUAUGCUGUAAAAGUUCCUCCUCCACACUCGCUAUUCUGUUGUCGUAAUUAAGGAUCUGCAUCAGGAAAUGCCACGCUUCAAACCUGAGUUUACUGCGUGCUUGACAGACUCCCACAGCUUCCUUCUCCAGCACUCAUUUCCAUCGAAAAUGCCUCGUGAAGCCAGCAGCUUGCUCUUGCAGAGACUAUCUUGAUAUGUAACGAGGAUGCUGAUUUUUUUUUUUAAGUAUGUUAUUGAGGUCCUACUCCGUGCUGAAUGCAUUUUUAUUUUUUUUCCAUUAUAUGGUAGUGGUUGCCUAACACGUCAGCAUGAUGCACGGUGAGCCUGGUGAGCUGGGUGGAAAGCCCUUUUCCGUUUGGUUCUUGUGCUCCAGGUGCGUGCCUGGGACACUUCACCAGUAUUAGGGACAUGGAAAACGUCUAGUAAUUCUCGAAUACCGAGUGAAAAUAUGACUGUUUGUCAUCUCUGAAACGAGGUCCAGCCUGCUAGAUGCGUAUUUAAUGCACUGGGAAAUGAUCAUUUUGUGCCGAGUGAAAACACGUGCACGUUUACGUGCCCAGUGCCCCCUUACCUGCGCAGCUGUAGCGUUUCUGCAUGCUUAGAAUCAGAGAGUCACAGAAUAUCCUGAGUUGGAAGGGACCCACGAGGAUCAUCGAGUCCAACUCCUAUCAGACUUAACAAUUUCCACUGUUGGCUUUUUUUCUGUUGUUCCUUGCAUCGCAGCCAAGCGUGACUGCCCUUGUGUAGGGAGGGAGGGCAGCCCCAGCCCUGCCUGUGUUCCUCAGGGGCACAGGGCACAUGGGAUGCUCCCAGCGCACCCAUGCAGCGCUGCCCUGCCUGUGUAAGUGGAAGAGAGGGUGAUUAACAUUGCGCUAAAAAAUAAAUUCUCUCUCCAUUAUUAAUGAGAGGGUCGCGAUGGAGAGUAGCACUGUCUUGAUCUCUCUUUUAGACACAUCUGAGUCUCCGGUAAUUGUGGCAGCUGAAGCUCAGGUUGUCUUUUUUUUCCUCUUUUCUGAGAGCUGCUGAUUUUUCUGUCAUUUUUCUGUCCACUCAUUGCCAUUCUCUCAUCUUCCCUGCUGCCCUGUGUCCCCUAACACACUCCCUGCUCUGCUGCGUCUUUGUCUUGUCUUCCUGAAGGUCUUGUGUGUGCAUUUUUUUUUUUUAAUAUAUAGCUCGUUUUAUUUCCUUACCCUAUUUUCUUGACGUUCCCAUCCCUUCUUUCUUUUCUGCUGCAGGCUUCCAAGUCUUUCUUUUCUGCUCUGAUCCCCCACCCUCACUGCUGACAUUUGGAUCGCUUUUUGCUGUUUUCAACCCAUCCGUCUUCUUCAGCGUGUUUUUUCCUGUUCUCGUUUCUCCAAAUUCUCCCCGUUUUCCCAGUUCCUCAUCCCUACCAGGCCCCUUUACUCCAGUUUUGGAGCCCAGUGGUUGGGGUGGGACCACCAGAACCAGCAGGGGCGAUGCUCAGCUCCAGGCUCCUGCUGCAAAGCUGGGACCACCUGUGGCCCCGCCGUGGCUCCGGGCUCCUGCCACCGAUUUGUGUUCCACCCGCUUCUCAUUUGUCAUUGUUAGUCCUUCCUUCCUCAUUAGAUAAUUAUCAUCCAUGCCACCUCCCUUUUCUAAUCAUUCCUUGAAUGCUUAAAUUAUCACUACAUCAUUCAGAUAUAUCUUUGAUCUCCUCAAUACGGUUUUUAUUUUCCCUCCUGCGGGUAGCGUGGUUGCUGCUGUCCCCUUCGUGCCUUCGUGUUCGUCUCGUUUUCAUUGCACAGUUCCCUGUUCCC